AUAAGUAGUACUCCCUCCGUUUAAAAAAAACCUAACUCUAGAUUUAAAUCUGGACAUAGUGUAUAUCCAAAUUCAAACCCAGAAUUUAAUUUCUUUUUUUGACAGAGGGUGUAUAUUACUAUAUAUUAUAUCACUUUCAUCUUCGUGCACUUGCUGGCGCUGCCAACUGUGCCACGUAGACUACCAUUAAGCUCCUUUAAUUAACUCGAUCUACUUCUGACAGAUGUACUCCUAUAUAGUAUGACAGUGCUCUCUCGUCUACCUGCAAUGCAAAUUGGAGUAAACCCCUAGCUAGAAGAGGCUAGAGAAGAGCAAAUCUCUCCCUUCUCCCUUGUGUCCAAUGCAUCUCUUGAAUUUACUGUACUCUGGAGUAGAAGAUACGAACAAUGCUCAGUAGUACAGUAAAUCCAUGGAUGGAACGGUAGAGUCGGUGUUUGCGGGCGUGGCAUCAUCAAGAUUCACAUCCAUGCAUAUAUCACAAGACGCACAUAUACAUCCGAUUUGGCUGAGAAUCUUGAUGAUGCUGCAUCCGCAGACAAGCGCCUUUUUUUCUUUUCAAAGGUAAGCUCCUCUGCUAUUCAAAGACCAUACAUUAGUUGUUCAUCAUCUUCAUCCUUGUUACUCCCUCCGUUUCACAAUGUAAAACAUCCUAGCAUUUUUCACAUUCAUAUUGAUACUAAUGAAUCUAGACAUCUUACAUUGUGAAACGGUGAAACGGAGAGAGUAUUAUAUAUGGC
rnacentral:precursor_RNA from 1 species